rnacentral:rRNA from 1 species
UACAGAGGGGGCAAGCGUUGUUCGGAAUUACUGGGCGUAAAGGGCGCGUAGGCGGCCUUCUAAGUCAGACGCGAAAUCCCUCGGCUCAACCGGGGAACUGCGUCUGAGACUGGAAGGCUUGAAUCCGGGAGAGGGAUGUGGAAUUCCAGGUGUAGCGGUGAAAUGCGUAGAUAUCUGGAGGAACACCGGUGGCGAAGGCGGCAUCCUGGACCGGUAUUGACGCUGAGGCGCGAAAGCCAGGGGAGCAAACGGG